UACGAAGGGGGCUAGCGUUGUUCGGAAUUACUGGGCGUAAAGGGCGCGUAGGCGGUGUGUCAAGUCAGGCGUGAAAGCCCCGGGCUCAACCUGGGAACCGCGCUUGAGACUGGCACGCUCGAGUUCGGGAGAGGAUGGUGGAAUUCCCAGUGUAGAGGUGAAAUUCGUAGAUAUUGGGAAGAACGCCGAUGGCGAAGGCAGCCAUCUGGACCGACACUGACGCUGAGGCGCGAAAGCGUGGGGAGCAAACAGG
rnacentral:rRNA from 1 species